rnacentral:rRNA from 1 species
AUUGAACGCUGGCGGCAUGCCUUACACAUGCAAGUCGAACGGUAACAGGUCUUCGGAUGCUGACGAGUGGCGAACGGGUGAGUAAUGCAUCGGAACGUGCCCAGUAGUGGGGGAUAGCCCGGCGAAAGCCGGAUUAAUACCGCAUACGACCUGAGGGUGAAAGGGGGGGAUCGCAAGACCUCUCGCUAUUGGAGCGGCCGAUGUCAGAUUAGCUAGUUGGUGGGGUAAAGGCCUACCAAGGCAACGAUCUGUAGUUGGUCUGAGGGGACGACCAGCCACACUGGGACGGACACACGGUCCAGACUCCUACGGGAGGCAGCAGUGGGGAAUAUUGCGCAAUGGGGGAAACCCUGACGCAGCGACGCCGCGUGAGUGAUGAAGGCCUUCGGGUUGUAAAGCUCUGUCAGCAGGGAAAAAUACUUACGUGCUAACACCACGUGAGGGUGAUGGUACCUGCAGAGGAAGCACCGGCUAACUCUGUGCCAGCCGCCGCAGUAAGAC